UCGUCGGGUUUGUUCAGCAGCUU
rnacentral:siRNA from 1 species